CUGGGAUGUACUCAGCAUUGUACAACCUAUCUAUUACAGUAUAUAGCAUUGCCAUGGAUUGUUUAUUUUCACAAAUCUAUCGCUCCAGGAACACGCUCAACUGAAUAUGAACAUAUGGCUGUGUGUCACUUGUAAGAUACAAGUAGUCCCAGUUCAGUUUUGAUGGAUCACUAUUAUUGCCUGGCAUAAACCUGCACAGAGAAUUAUAAUACGGGCCAUUUUAACUGACAGCGUUGAACAAAAGAUACUCAUUACAUGUGUGGGCGGUAACGUGCCCAUAUGGAUGUCUUGAGGCAGCACCGAACUGCAUUGUGGGGAAGUUGAAAAUAAUUGAUCAAGAAGAGGUGGGAGGAAGGUGGCGGUGGUUCUGACGUCUGAUCUACUCUUCUUCAAUCUCACUGUGAUCCUGAUGGGAAAUGGCCUCUUGAAGACACCGCGAUCCAUCACGUUCCGUCGGUCUGUCAGAAAACAAGAAACGUUUUCAUUCCUUUCUCCCGCUACCUGAAGCCCCUUGGCAUGUGCAAACGUGUUUUUCCUAUCUUCCUCUUCAUCCGAGCCUCCUCCUCCUCCUCCUCGUCCUCCGAGAGCUGUACAUCCACCGUGUUCAUCAUAUUACAUUGCACACCGGAGCUGAUUAUCCGCUUUAAUAACUAGCAAUUACUGCCGCGGUUCUUCUGGUGCUGCCCACGUGGAGGAGAACAGAGGGACAUGAUUACGCUCAUCAGACACACGCACACCAUCACACACGCCGCAAACACGCCGGCGUCACUAAUGCGCGCCGUGCUCGUGGCGCUCACCAGUCUGCAGGGGAUAUUAACACUUGUCUCCGUAACUGCCAAAUGGCCCCGCCCACAACCACCUGAUUAUGUCCAUCAACACGGAUGGUGACAGAGGGAUGAAGAUUCAUUCACGUUGUUUGUUUUGGCCCCGGACUAAAAUGUUGGCCCUACCCCCGAAUGAAACGAUGCAAAGACGGGGACUCGAGUCACUUGAGUCCCCAAACCCAGAGAUACAAGGUAGACGGAAGAGCCCUCUGGAGGUGGUUCAUGAAGCAUCUGCAGAAUCAAGAAAAUAGGAUCACAUUCAGAACAAUGAACAAAGGAAAACCAAAGCAUCCCACCUAUUUCCUGGCCAGCGAGGAGCCAGUGUUUCCCACAGCAGAGGCGUGUGACUCGUCCUUGUUGUCCCUUUCGGACAACACAACAUCACAGUCUACAGAAUAUGCUAACUAUGAAAAAGUGAAUAACAUGUUAUGCUCAGGAGUGACAGAGAAGAUGAUUCUGAAGAUGUUUCCCAUGCCCAUGCUGUCCUUAAAUGGAGGGCACCAUCGAAGAUGUUUCCCUUCAAUUUAAGUCAUCAUGGUUACAGAUUAUAUUAUAUUGUUCAUUUAAUAAAUGAAAAAUGUAUUCUUGA
ensembl:lncRNA